GCUUCCUCCUGGAGCCCAGCAUUCUGAUGAAAAAGGUGCUAAAGAAAUUAUCCUUGAUGAUGAUGAGUGUCCUUUACAAAUCUUCAGGGAAUGGCCAAGUGACAAAGGGGUUUUAGUCUUUCAGUUGAAGAGGAGGCCACCAGACUAUAUCCCAAAGAAAACUAAGAAACAUGUUGAUGGGAAGCUGGUGAAGGGCAAGGAGAGAGCGGAGGGGUCGGGCUACGGCUCUGCGCUUCCGCCCGAGAAGCUGCCCUAUCUAGUAGAGCUAAGCCCAGGGAGAAGGGAUCGCUUUGCCUGCUACAACUAUCACCCUUACGAAGGUAAUGCUAUGUUCAUACUGCUUUCCUAACUAGAGCACUAACAGAGCCUCUUGGGCAAAAUAAUGUUAAGUGGCCAGACAUUUUAUGUAUUAGGUUCUUAAUUAAUACAAGUAACUUUAUUCUAAGAAAUGUAAUGUGCCAUCCUUCCUUGGUUGGCGUCUUGUCAGCACUCCAUGUGCAGCAUUCGCUUCAUCUCACGGAAGCCGAGUUUGCAGAAAUGUCCAGCUCCUUUACUCAGGCAAAGUCUCGAGUGAGAAAUUGGACUGAAGAAGGACAGGAGCUGGGUUCCUAUC